GUGCCACAGCCGCGGUAAGACGGGGGAUGCAAGUGUUAUCCGGAAUUACUGGGCGUAAAGCGUCUGCAGGUGGUUUCUUAAGUCUACUGUUAAAUCUUGAGGCUCAACCUCAAAUCUGCAGUAGAAACUAGGAGACUUGAGUAUAGUAGGGGUAGAGGGAAUUUCCAGUGGAGCGGUGAAAUGCGUANAUAUUGGAAAGAACACCGAUGGCGAAGGCACUCUACUGGGCUAUUACUGACACUCACAGACGAAAGCUAGGGGAGCAAAUGGGAUUAGAUACCCCAGUAGUCCUAGCCGUAAACGAUGGAUACUCAAUGUUGGACGUAUCGACCCGUUCAGUAUCUUAGCUAACGCGUUAAGUAUCCCGCCUGGGGAGUACGCUCGCUAGAGUGAAACUCAAAGGAAUUGACGGGGGCCCGCACAAGCGGUGGAGGAUGUGGCUUAAUCCAAUGCAAGGCGAAGAACCUUACCAGCCUUCGCUAGAAGUGUUCGGUUUCCUGCAGAGAAAGACUCCUUAUUUCGCUCCUAUGCGUGGUGCAUGCCUGUCGUCAGCUUCGCGUCGGUGACAUUGUUGGCUUUCGUCCCCCAACGUAGCGCAACCCAUUACUUACUGGCCAAAUCGAUCUAAAAGGAUGGCCGGUUAUAUAGACCGGGGGGAUGGGGUUGGCCGGAAGGCCCCACCCCUGUGCCCCCUUCGGCCUCGGAGGACGUACGAGGGGUGAGACAAUAAGUUGCAAAUCCGCGAGGACAAGCUAAUCUUUCAAACUUACUCCAAGUACAGAUUGCAGGCUGCAACUCGCCUGCA
rnacentral:rRNA from 1 species